UAUAUUUUUCUAUAGAGUUGUACCCUUGCCUUUGGAGAUGUCUGAAAAGGUACCAAAUAUUCUCAAAAGGAAAGCUGAACGUGCAACAACAGGCCAAGAAUCAGGAACAUUAGCUGAAGCUCAGGCUCUAUUGCAAGAUACAAAUGAUGGUGAUGAUGAUGUCAUUAACGGGCAGAUAGUUUUUGGUAAUGAUGCUGAAACAGAUGAUGAUGAACAGCCUUUAGUGUGAUGAAGCAACUUUCACUGAAGGGGAAUUAUUAUAUAGUGUAGUUCCUAGUUACAUUAUUUGAGCUUAGAGUAGUCUAGUUCAAAUUAAAGAAAGAUUAUUUACCUACAUUAAGAGUUUAAUGUAUUUUCCACAUAUAUCUGUGAUACGUUUUGAGUGAAUAACAUUCAUAUAUCUCUAUAACACUGAUGGCCAUAUCAUUAAAAAUUUUCAUAAUUUUAUUAUACUAGUGUGAGACAACAUAGUAAUAUUUUUGUCAAAGAAAACUAAAAUAUGUAAAAGCCCUCCAAAAAAUAUGUAGCAUUAAUGAUAUGAUUUAACUUUAAUAUAGUUUCUGAUAGUCAUAUAAUAACUAGAAUAAGAAAUAUCUGACAUCAUUUUAUAAAUGUUAUCUCUUGUUUUCUGUUUAUCAAGUUUGUGUUAUCACGACAGGAGUUAAUUGAAAAUGUUGAUUUUUGCAAUAACCUGUUCCAUGUACAUCAAUCUUUCAUGAAAUGAGUAAAGAUACUGACAUAAUUCUACAUACCUAAAGAAAGCCAAAUGGGCUCAGGGAUCUCUUAACCAAACACUUUUUUAUGAAUACUGUGUAUAUUUUCUUAUUUCAAAUUGACUGUUGCAUAAUAUACUAUUCUGGUCAGUCUAGUUUCUCACUUUUAUAUAAACAUUUUAAAAGAUCAAUAUUCACAUUAAAGGGUGAUAAUAUUUUAAAAAUGUCUUACAGUUAGUAAGAUUUUUUUUUAUUUCAUUACAUGCUUUCUUAUUUUGUGAGCUAUUAGUUUAGCAUGCUUCCAUACUAACAUUAGUACAAAUGAGUACUCACUCAAGGAGAGAACUAUGUAAGCUGCAUUUGGUUUGAAAUAAUGUAUGUUAAAAAAUAUAUAAUUAAAAUAUGUAUAAAUGUAUGUUGAGUGGAGAACAAUUUCUGCCACUAUGAUGGCAUGUAUGUGCAUACCAUGCUCAUUGUGAGUUUAUUUGUUAGCUAAUUGUAUUUACAUAUAUGUGGAUCCAUUAGUGCUUAGUCACAAAGGAGUUAAUUAUUAGUCCUACCUAUCUCACUCAUUUACUGUUUUCCAUGAUUUUUGGAAAUAUUCUGCCAUUAAUAUUAUUAUAAUGACAUAUUGCCUAGAAUAAUAAUAACAGCAUUGAUAUUGAUAACAUUAGAAAUAAAAUGCUGAAAACUCAGGAUAGUGAACAUCAGGUUAAGUCACAUGCCUACUAAUUGACUUCUGGAUGGCUGAGCACUUGUGCAGCCAUUUAUGUGUAUAUUUCACAAAACUAAACUGCAAGGGACAUUACACAUUUCAGGUGGUAUUGGGUCAGUGCUCAUUUCAAAUAUUCUCAUUAAAUGUAUGUGCUACUUUUGUUCCUAAAUCUGUAAAGUAUGCAUUCAUUACAUUAUUCCAUUAAGUUUAGAAUUAUUCUGGUUAAUAUCGUAUUUACUCACUUGUAGGAAGAUGAUUUAAGCUUUGAAAUUCACUUGAUAUAAAAAAAAGGCUUCAGAAAUGUUAUACGGUUUGUAAAUAGCUUAAAAUAAUUGUAUGCAAUGAAUGGCCAAUAUUAAAAGUAAAUAUAAAAAAAUAUUGACUUUU
rnacentral:lncRNA from 1 species